CGACACGUUCUCCAUGUGUAUUGGAGAUUUUUCGUGAAUGUAUUCUCAUCAUGAGAAUGAAAUCUAAGUUGGGAAGGCUCGGGAAAAGAAAAAAACAACACAAAUCCAGAUUUCUGCAUACCCGAUGAUAUACUGAACGCUCUGCUGGACCAGUGAUACAGACUGAAAUAAUCAACUCCAAUGGAAUUUAAAAAUUGAUUGAUAUUUUUACUGGUUCCUGAUGAAGACUGUAAGGUUCAAUCUAUGUUCAACCUGUGUCCAACCUUUGAAGCUGGAAGUGCCUGAAGAAGAAGGAGUUGUCAUAAAUAGAUUGUUUCUUACCAGAUCGUUUAAGAUCGAUCGAACCUGAAUACGAUUGUCAAUUGAAGGUCUAGACAUCUUUUCAAAGAAUGUAUUGACAGAAUCAACAGAAUCUUUGGAACAUAAUAUUUCGAAAUCGCAUUUUUUUAUGUGGAACACAUCUUUAUUUUCUAUAUAGGGGUGCAAAUUAGAAACUCAAGGAAGAAUACAUGUAAAAGUGUGGUCAGGUUUAAAACACUUACAGCUCAGUAUAUUUUGUAUCAAUUCUUCAUAUUAUUUCAUUAUUUGAUUGGGAAUAUUUCUAAGAUUCGAUUUGAAUGUAUCAAGCCGAGUAUUUUCAAUUAUAAAUGAUUAAAAUUUUGAUUAGUAGCGAGCAGUGUCCUAUUUUGUCUGCAAAAAAUCUCAGGCGUACCGGAUUUCCCUGCCAUAGACGACGGUUUUGAAGGAGUAAGCGAUAUAGCAAAGGAAAAGCAUCGCUCUGAUUGGUCAAUCGAUGCAAAAGCGAAGUUGUUGGAAACACGCGAAUCUAUAAAUAGAAGCGAAAUUAUAGCUAACGUUUCAGUCGUACGCGUAGCCAGCGAUGUCAGAUCUACGGAAAUCUCCGUAGAUCUACGGAUCCGUAGACAAAAUCUACGAAAAUUGGAUUUAUUCUACGGAAAUCUACGGAAAUUACAAUUUAUCAACGGAGAACUACGGGAACUAGUUUUGUCUGGCGAGCAAAAAAAAAAGCUUUUCACCGUGAGAGCUUCCGAGAAAAAUGCCAAUCUACGGAAAUGACACUACUACUAUCUGGCAUCGCUGCGCGUAGCAUGCUAGAGAUAGGUUGUUGCUAGACAGCAAGACAAAAAGUGCUAUAAAACGAUUUGAAGCUUUAAUUGGUAUGCUCUGACCUUUGUCAUGCAAGCUCGGAUGAAAUUCCAUGUUAUAUCGUUUCGCCUGAGAAAUAGACAACUACCCAGGGUAAAUUUUGAGUGCUUAAGAUUAAAUUCUAAUUUAUAUAUGAUGAACUCGAUUGAUAACGAGAAAAAAUUUAUCGCUUCUUUCAAAAUUGAAGAAUGGUAGAGAAACUUAAAGCUAUAAAAAUAACUGCUUGCAUACAAAACUUGAACACAAGCUUGGUGAAGAGAAGCUUAAAUAUUUUUGGGAUUUUGGUGUAAUUUCGUCGGCUAUAAAAUAAACAAUGUGCGGUGUUGGUUCCUAAUCAAGAUCAAUCUAAGCAGACUCUCGUGCAAUUGCGGAUUCAAAAGUGUGACGAUUUUUUUGGACUGUUUGAUUGUAGAUCGUUAGAAAUUUUGGUUGCCUUGUUCCACAUCAAUGGCUCGAACAACCCUAUGUAGCUGAUCCUUGUAGUUUUUAUGUCAAAUGAAUUAGAAUUGCAUAAAACGGAUUUAUUGUCAUCUCGAUUGUUUUUAUUUUUUAAAUGACUUUCUAAGACUGAACUCUAGCGCAGCUAACGUGUCGGAAGUAGUUUGCACGGUAUAAAAGUGACAAUUUUUGUUUGGAACACAAACAACGAGCCGGAGCGCCACCACAUUUUAAAAAAGAAAAAUUGGAGGAAUUACUCGAUCGAGACCCGUCGCAAACGCAAGAACUUGCAAUAUCAUUCGAAUUUACUCAACCAACCAACGACUAGAAACAAUGAGAAAGAUCCGAAAGGUAAGCUAUUGGAUGCCGUAUAAAUUGAAGCCCAGGAACGCCGUUUCUUCACGUACGAGCAACUGCUGAAACAUCACAAAAGAAAAGGAUUUUGGAAUCAAACUGUUAUUGGGGACGUGAAAGUUUGUCGAUUACCCGGCUAUGCAUCAUCAUCGACGGUCGUUCAGCAGAAUAUUCAUGGCUUGAAGGUUUGGCUUUGUAUAUGGUGAGACCAGCUGAGUAUGGUGUGUUAUAAGCUGCUCCAACAGUGAAAGGAUACACCGAUAGACACGACAAAGUAAUUUUGCCACAUGACAAUGCUUGCCCGCGCAAGUGGCACUGCUGGUGAAACAUACUUACAAACGCUCAAAUGCAUGGCCUGGCUGAUCAGCACUUCUCCAAUUAUGAUGAAGUAAAAAAAAAUGAAUCGAAUUGAUGUUAUCUGUUUGCAGAUAUUAGAACACUUUUACGAUUCACUUAAACGAAAUGAAUUGAUGAGCAUGAUUUGCCAUGCAUUUUCCGACAAAGUUUAUUAGUCUCUCGUAGGAUUGUGUUCAAGUGUCAAUAUUGCUGAUAUGACAUUUGUAACGUUAAAUGGAUUGAAGCAGGAUGAGGCGCUCUCUAGCUUUAACCGGUAUGCAGAUAAAGAUAUUAAAGUCUCUCUGCAUCUGAGCAAACAAAAACGAAGCGACACACACAAAUUGAACAACAAAAUCGGUUUAGUUUUCUCUAAGACUGGUCGUCAUUUGGCUAAAAAACUGAACACCUUGAAAUCCAACGUUCAACGAAUCAAUCAGGCAAUUGAUGUGCAAGGGAUAACAGCCAAAAAGAAGUCCUACACUGGCGGCCAGCUUGAAACCAGUGGCGCGAAAAUUGUACGACACAGUUUUUGCCACGCACUAGUACGAACGAAACGUAUUCGAUGUGGGUCGGACUAUAAACCCCAGUUUAAGAAACGAUUGGUGAAGAUGACACCUACAAUAUUCUAAACCGGUGUUGUUGACAAGGCGGACAGCUACAAUGACAAUCCUACCAUAUUCUAAACCGAUCUCGCCUCGUGUCAUUGAAUCCAAGCAGAUGACUCCUCUAAAUUUUCCUGAAACUCGUCUCAUCAUAUGGUCAGUCCUUUACGACGCAGUUCCUUUAUAUAUCUAGGCGUUGCCCAAAACUUCGAAUAGAACAGUCAUUCCUCGAAAUGUGUUCCGUGUAUCUGAAUUGCUACAGAAUUAUCUAAACCGAACCGAAGUUAUCGUGUUGUAUGAAAGCUAAAAAGUUGCUAAAAGCUAAAAAGUUGAGAGUUGAAACGUACAAAUAUACAAAAAAAGGUUUGAUGACUUUCCUGAAUACGAAAAAUUGAGCGACAUCCAGAAAACAAGACAAAAUGAUUGCACCGAUGGUCUGGAAUAACCCUUGAACUUUGUACCGACUUGAAGCCAAUUGGCCAAGCUCACCAGCAAUCUAAUACAUGCCAGUCUUAACACUUAUCAGUCGACGCUUGCAACCAGCCAAGCUGCAUCUUUUUAGUGUAUCCCAUAUGGAACAAAGUCUGAGCUGGAUGGAGAAGCACGAGUGUCGCAACAGGUCUAAAAUGAAGCUACUUUUCAAGUGUAGGUUCCAGUGAAGCGUAUCUGGUUGAGAAACAGUACCGAUUUCUUUCAGCAAACCUCACAAACAUCCAGUGGAAGUGAACGUUUGUUUUGAUGCUUAGGUAGUUUGGAGCUUUUCCCGUAGAAUUUGAAUGCAGCAAACAUGCUCAACAUUCUGAAACAAAACCUGAUGAGGUCACCGCCGAGAAAAUGUUCGGACCUGAUAACAGAAACUGGGUUCUGCAACAGAACAAUAACCUACAAUUUUUAUAAAAUCCUGUUCAGCAGUUAUUUAGGGAAAAGCAAAGAGGCAUUGAAGCAAACACUUUCAUUACCUUCGAAAUAUUCACACCUCCAAACAGACUCUAAUUAUCGAACAGUAGAAAAUAACUGCUCCCGAGAGAACGAAGUGAACAACUACUGAACUGUCACGAGUUUAACCAACCAAUUGACGAAACGAAAGCGCCUCAGGAAACGCAGGGUAUAGGCCCCCGGUGGAAUACAAAGUCCGGAUAUGCACGUGAAAUGCUGUUCUUCCAAUUGACACACAUACACCCGCAUCCAAAACAAACGAAAAAACAACGCACCGCCAGCUAACUGCCUGCGGAGACUGUGGCACCAGAGUUUGUUGAUUGCAUUUCAACUUCUGCUGUGCCGCAUCGGUGUCGCCCAAAACCGCAUCCAAAAUGGGUUGACGGGGUUUUGUUUGUGGCAUGUGCUUUUUGUUCGAUGUUGCGUUUUUCGUGCUUUAUAAACCGCCCGCGAAGGUGAUCGGAUCGCUGCUGUCUGCCGUUGUGGUGUUGAAUUCAAUUAACGCGGUGUUUUGUUUUUUUUUUCGUUUCCGUUGUUUCACGGUUUUGUUAUUUGUUUGCUGAUGACCUUGAACCUGCGCCUGCCUGAGCGAUUGUUGGCAUUGGAACCCCUCCUGCAUUCGGGGGAUGCGCAGCGGCGGCCCACACAAUCAUUGAAUAUGUUUCAUUCAGUAACAGAACCCAGACCGGCCAAAUGGAUCGAAAUUAAGUUCUGAGAAUAUUACGUUUCGGAUUGUAGCAAGAUCUCCGAUGCCCCCGUUCUGCGUGGUUGGAUGGGCGAAUGGAGAGUCAGUUUAUUUUAAAAGUUUACUUGGGUAUUGUGUGAUUUUCUUAUGAUAUCGAAAAAAUUCUUCGGUCGAGAAAAAUAAACUCCACCACACGGAAUUGAAAGUCUAGAAAAAAAUCUUCAAAGAGCAGAAUUCUAUGGUCACGAGAUUUGGACUGUGUUGGAAGGGGAUCAAUGCACUCUUAGAACUUUCGAAAGUGAGACAAGAUGAUGCUACGGAACGAAGCGCGGAAGAAAAACAGAACGAGAAGACCUCGUAUGGACCAAGAAUAGCUACUUGGAGAACUUUCUACUCUAUGAACGUAUGGAAAUUGAACGACUGCUUGAAACUUUUCUCAAAGCCCAAAUGCUACUCGAUCUAAAGCAGGUGCAUUGUUUUCAACUGAAUAAAACGAGCUGUGUUAUCUACAUUCAAUUCUGGAAGGAGUGUGUUAAUAUUGUAACACGUACCUUUGAGAAGAUGACGGAAUCAAAAUAGUUACCCGCGAAUUGUCCCGAAGCUGCAAUUUUAUUUCGUGCGAUGCAAAUCAAGCUGAAUCUGUUCUAAAUGUUCGAAUGUACGGAAAGAUCGAUCAAAUCGAGCCAACUGCUCCACGAAAGAAUUGAAUGAAAAAAGACAGGAAAUUGGUUUCAUUGAUGUAAAUUAAGAACAGCAGAGGUGCAGAGCGAUUUUUCUGUGGUACACCAGAGCUCGAGGUUCAAGAUUCAUCGGUAGUAUCACAUUUUGCUGUCAAAGUGAACAGUAGACAAUCAGAGCGCUUAAUCUGAAUCGAUCUAAUCGAUUUAAACGGACAUGAGUGCUGUUCAUUCUUCAUUACACGAUGAUGAUAGACGAUAAAUAGCAUUGUUGAGCGCGCAGAACCGAUAUCUCAGAGAAGUGACUAUCGGCGAAAAAAUCCUGACUCAUAGGACAAUAUUUUUAGAGUGUCAAAGAUAACAUCAGAAAUGAGGGAUGACAAUCAUCAAUUCUCAGAAUUUCCUGAUAAUUCCCUAUAAAUAAUCGACUCGUAUUUUUUGUGCUGCAUUCACAUAGCCGUUUUCCGGUUAGUGUAAUUGAAAAAAAAUUGAUCUGAAAAAAAUUGUUGUUCUCUCGAAAAGAUGUCUUAAUUAAAUGAACCGAUCUCAGUGUUCUAAGGUCAAAUGAAACUUUCUCUUCUGUUAACACUCCGACUACCAAGGGGGUAAAAAAAGUGAGAACGCUAAUUUUGACUGACCUCUUUUUACCAUUAGAAAGAUAAAUUCAUUCGGAAUAAAAUCCAUUUGAAACAAUGGAAAACAAUUCUAUUCAAAGUUAUUAUAAAAAGUUCCAACUAAAGUCUGUUGAAAAAAAGUGGGAACGCUUUCUUUGGCUGGCCAUAUCUCAGCUGUUAGAAGUCCGGUUUUUGAAAAUUUGUUUAUCUCUCGACAGGUACGUCUAUCACAACAUAAAUGGAACAGAAAAUUUUUCUAUUACACUUUAGUAAUGAAAGUUAUAAUCAAAAACGUAACCAAAAGUCCAAGCAUAAAUGAUCGAAAACUUCGUGUUUUCGACAUAUCUUUAAAUUCAAAGCGACGACAUAUGCAUUUUGAUAUACCAAUAGAUUGCAUUUGAUAUCAGCUAUAUGUCUUAGAAGAAAUCAAUUUCAACUUUACUGAAAAUGUCUCAAAAAUUCGAUACUUUUACAGAAAUUUUAGUAUAUUAGAAGUAUUAGAAGAAUGAGCUAAAUAGAGAUAAGCAUUUUUGUAUACCAAUCGAUUGAAUUUGAU